rnacentral:pre_miRNA from 1 species
UAAAUACUCCCUCCAUCCGAAAAUACUUGUCAGCAAAAUGGAUAAAAAGAGAUGUAUCUAAAACUAAAAUACGUCUAGAUACAUUCCCUUUUAUCCAUUUUGAUGACAAGUAUUUCCGGACGGAGGGAGUAUUUG